GUGGCGGCGCGACUAUCGCGACAGCUUGCUAUAUUAGCCCAGUCAUGCGGCCACCGCGGGGCAUUCCACUACGAGCCGUCAUGGAAUAAACCACGUUUGGUUCUGCUCACGCCUCUUCCUUCGGCUGCGGUUUUCACCCCGUGAAAACACUACAUUGGCGACGAAGAUGGGAUGCUGAGCAAUUCUGCGGCAAGCUGACAUGGCAACGGAAGGACCGGCAGCGGCGGGUGCAGUGGCGCAAAUCGUGGGUCGACUGGGACACAUCGAGCCCUUUGACGAGUCCACAAGCGACUGGCCGUCGUACGAGGAACGCUUGUCGUCGUUUCUUCAGGUCAACCGUAUCUCCGAGGAUGACAAGAUUCGGAGUUCCGGAGACGGUGGUGUCCGACAAUGGACCACAACUGGUGUCCGAAGAGUUCAAGGCGUUUAUGCGGAGCGUCGGGGCCAGGCACGUCGUGAGCGCUCCCUAUCACCCAAGCACAAACGGUCUGGCGGAGCGUUUCGUGCAAACAUUGAAGUCUGCUCUACGCAAGUCAUCUCCCGGUGAGUCUAUCGAAGAAACACUUCACAACUUCUUAUUGGCGUACAGAAAUACGCCUCACCCUACGACUGGAGAAGCUCCAGCUAACCUAUUGAUGGGUAGACGAUUGCGCACCUGGCUGGAUGCAAUGAAGCCUACAGUGGAGGGGAAGGUGAUGCACAGUAAGUUCACCCAAAUGCAGCAGCGCAGGAGCAACAGGGACUGUUUUUGUGUUAAUGACAGUGUUCUAGUUCGCAAUUACAGAGGCCCAACGAAGUGGGUUCGUGGAACCAUUCUGAAGAAGACUGGACCAGUCUCGUACAAAGUCAUGGUAACCACCCCCCGAGGCAAGUUCAUCUGGCGUCGACAUCUCGACCAGCUGCUGGCUGACGCCGGCCCUAUGGUGACACCAAGGGCAUCCGACUCCGAUUUCUCGGAGGGGUUCCUGGUCUUCCCUGAAGGUCAGACUGGUGACCAGCCAACAUCGGAAGAGCCGACACCCGGGGAGUCCAUCCCUCCAGCUCCCGGUCCUCCAUCAGAGACAUCGGCUCCGCACAGGCGCUACCCGUCAAGACAACGCCGUCCACCCGACAGAUACCAAGCCGUUCUUUAACUAUUGUAUAAGGAUACAAGGGCACCCUCUAAAAUAAAGAGGGAGGAGUGUUGUGUUAUCAUCGCCGCUUGAGCGAUAGUGGCGGCGCGACUAUCGCGACAGCUUGCUAUAUUAGCCCAGUCAUGCGGCCACCGCGGGGCAUUCCACUACGAGCCGUCAUGGAAUAAACCACGUUUGGUUCUA